UUGGCGGACGGGUGAGUAACGCGUGGGUAACCUGCCCUAUACAGGGGGAUAACAACCAGAAAUGGUUGCUAAUACCGCAUAAGCGCACAGGACCGCAUGGUCCGGUGUGAAAAACUCCGGUGGUAUAGGAUGGACCCGCGUUGGAUUAGCCAGUUGGCAGGGUAACGGCCUACCAAAGCGACGAUCCAUAGCCGGCCUGAGAGGGUGAACGGCCACAUUGGGACUGAGACACGGCCCAG
rnacentral:rRNA from 1 species